rnacentral:rRNA from 1 species
CGCGGGAUUAUCCGGAUUUAUUGGGUUUAAAGGGUCCGUAGGCGGAUGUGUAAGUCAGUGGUGAAAUCUCGCAGCUUAACUGCGAAACUGCCAUUGAUACUGCAGGUCUUGAGUAAAUUUGAAGUGGCUGGAAUAAGUAGUGUAGCGGUGAAAUGCAUAGAUAUUACUUAGAACACCAAUUGCGAAGGCAGGUCACUAAGAUUUAACUGACGCUGAUGGACGAAAGCGUGGGGAGCGAACAGGAUUAGAUACCCUGGUAGUCCACGCCGUAAACGAUGCUAACUCGUUUUUUGUGCUUCGGCAUGAGAGACCAAGCGAAAGUGAUAAGUUAGCCACCUGGGGAGUACGUUCGCAAGAAUG